GCUCCAGUGGCGCAAUCGGUUAGCCCGCGGUACUUAUAAUGCCGAGGUUGUGAGUUCGAGCCUCACCUGGAGCA
rnacentral:tRNA from 1 species